rnacentral:rRNA from 1 species
GAACGCCCCCUCGAGAUGAGAUUUCCCAUUCCUAUAUGGAAGUAAGACCCCUGAGAGAUGAUCAGGUAGAUAGGCUGGAAGUGGAAGUGCAGCGAUGCAUGGAGCGGACCAGUACUAAUCGGUCGAGGACUUAACCAA